rnacentral:misc_RNA from 1 species
UCAUCGAUACAAGAACUAUCUGUUGUUCAUCUUAUGGAGGAAGGAAUGGAGACAGAUCAGGAGCGGAACGUGGCGAGCAGAAAAUCACAGAGGAGCAGGGUAAACGGUGGCACAAACCUGGGAAGAAUUUAAUCGAGAAGCUUGUAAUGAAUACGGCAUGCUGUCGAUGCAGAAUUUAAGAGACUUGGAAUGACAGAAUUACAUGGAUGGAGCAUAUAAAAGUGGGAAACACGGGACCAUAAAGCGACGGGCGAAUAUUUUUUGGCAAAUAGAAUUUCACCGAUUGCCGCGGCGAACGGGGACACAACGAGCCGAAUGCAGAGGCUAAUAAUUCAAAAAAUUUGCGCGCAAUAUCGAGCAGCAAACGAUACGAGGUUUUCGGUUUGUUUUUGGCAAUGUAAGUGAUCCCGCCGUUUUAUCCGAUCUUUAUUGCUUUUUU